ACUCCAUGGUGGCACAGUUGGUUGUAGCAUUGUCUUGCAGCAGGAAGGUCCUGGGUUCAAAUCCCAGCCAGGGUU